GAUGAAGAACGUAGCGAAAUGCGAUAAGUAGUGUGAAUUGCAGAAUUCAGUGAAUCAUCGAAUCUUUGAACGCACAUUGCGCCCCUUGGUAUUCCAUGGGGCAUGCCUGUUCGAGCGUCAUUUGUACCUUCAAGCUCUGCUUGGUGUUGGGUGUUUGUCUCGCCUCUGCGUGUAGACUCGCCUCAAAAUAAUUGGCAGCCGGCGUAUUGAUUUCGGAGCGCAGUACAUCUCGCGCUUUGCACUCAUAACGACGACGUCCAAAAGUACAUUAUUACACUCUUGACCUCGGAUCAGGUAGGGAUACCCGCUGAACUUAAGCAUAUCAAUAAGCGGAGGA
rnacentral:misc_RNA from 1 species